GCCCCCAUAGCUUAACGGAUAAAGCACCGGUCUUCUAAACCGGCUAUCGUGGUUCGAUUCCACGUGGGGGUG
rnacentral:tRNA from 1 species